rnacentral:rRNA from 1 species
AUACCUCUAAAGGGCCGUCCGAGACCAGGACGUUGAUAGGCAGGGUGUGGAAGCGCUGUGAGGCGUGCAGCUAACCUGUACUAAUGACCCGUGCGGCUUAACCAUACAACACCCAAGAAGUGU